AUUGAACGCUGGCGGCAGGCCUAACACAUGCAAGUCGAACGGUAACAGAAAGCAGCUUGCUGCUUUGCUGACGAGUGGCGGACGGGUGAGUAAUAUCUGGGAAACUGCCUGAUGGAGGGGGUUAACUACUGGAAACGGUAGCUAAUACCGCAUAACGUCGCAAGACCAAAGAGGGGGACCUUCAGGCCUCUUGCCAUCGGAUUUGCCCAGAUGGGAUUAGCUAGUAGGUAGGGUAACGGCUCACCUAGGCGACGAUCCCUAGCUGGUCUGAGAGGAUGACCAGCCACACUGGAACUGAGACACGGUCCAGACUCCUACGGGAGGCAGCAGUGGGGAAUAUUGCACAAUGGGCGCAAGCCUGAUGGAGCAAUGCCGCGUGUAUGAAGAAGGCCUUCGGGUUGUAAAGUACUUUCAGCGGGGAGGAAGGGAGUAAAGUUAAUACCUGUGCUCAUUGACGUUACCCGCAGAAGAAGCACCGGCUAACUCCGUG
rnacentral:rRNA from 1 species